rnacentral:rRNA from 1 species
CCCUUAGAUGUUCUGGGCCGCACGCGUGCUACACUGAGUGGAUCAGCGGGUCAGGUUGCGCGAAAGUGUUUCCUAAUCUUGAAAUCCGCUCGUGAUGGGGAUUGACGGUUGCAAUUUUCCGUCAUGAACGAGGAAUACCUUGUAAGCGCGGGUCAUCAUCCCGCGCUGAAUACGUCCCUGCCCUUUGUACACACCGCCCGUCGCUCCUACCGAUUGAGUGGUCCGGUGAGGCUUUGGGAUCUGAGCAAAGAGAGCGUUUCGCUCGUUUUGCCCGGAAAACUCAGUCGAACCUUAUCAUUUAGAGGAAGGGGAAGUCGUAACA